GGGCGCUUAGCACAGUGGUAGCGCGCACGCUUUGCACAUUCAUUGUACUUGAACUAUGAAGCUAUUGCGUGGAGGCCGUGGGUUCAAUCCCCACAGUGUCCA